GCCCAGAUAGCUCAGUUGGUAGAGCAGAGGACUGAAAAUCCUCGUGUCGGUGGUUCGAUUCCGCCUCUGGGCACCA
rnacentral:tRNA from 3 species